AAGCUCUUGUUUCUCUUCAAAUUGUACCGAUCUUUUGACUUUUACUAAAGAUUUCCGUGGAGGGAAAUAUUGCUGAGCUUCUAGAAAAUAUUUUCAUGUCUCGUUUCUAUGAGGCU
rnacentral:snRNA from 1 species